rnacentral:tRNA from 1 species
GGAGCGGUAGUUCAGUUGGUUAGACUCUUUAUAAAAAGACAAGCGGCCUGUCUCGCCGGGUGUCGCGGGUUGUGGUUUAUAGAUAGCCGUCCGCUCUU